rnacentral:rRNA from 1 species
AACGAACGCUGGCGGCGUGUUUAAGACAUGCAAGUCGCACGGGAUUGGAUGAGUAGUAAUACGAUUCCAGUCCAGUGGCGCACGGGUGAGUAACACGUGAAUUACAUGCCCUUCAGUGGGGAAUAGCCCAGGGAAACUUGGAUUAAUACCCCAUGGUAUCGCAAGAUUAAAGGUGGCCGCAAGGCUGUCGCUGAAGGAUUGGUUCGCGCCCUAUCAGCUUGUUGGCGGGGUAACGGCCCACCAAGGCUACGACGGGUACCUGGUCUGAGAGGACGAUCAGCCACACUGGCACUGCGACACGGGCCAGACUCCUACGGGAGGCUG